rnacentral:SRP_RNA from 1 species
GCCGGGCAUGGUGGCGUGCGCCUGUAAUCCCAGCUACUGGGGAGGCUGAGGCAGAAGAAUCGCUUGAACCCAGGAGGUGAGGUUGCAGUGAGCUGAGAUUGCGCCACUGCACUACAGCCUGGGUGACAGAGCGAGAGUCCGUCUCAA